rnacentral:rRNA from 1 species
UACGAAGGUCCCAAGCGUUGUUCGGAAUCACUGGGCGUAAAGGGAGCGUAGGCGGCGUGGUAAGUCAGAUGUGAAAUCCCGGGGCUCAACCCCGGAACUGCAUCCGAUACUGCCAUGCUUGAGGGUUGGAGAGGUAGCUGGAAUUCUCGGUGUAGCAGUGAAAUGCGUGGAUAUCGAGAGGAACACUCGUGGCGAAGGCGAGUUACUGGGACAACAUCUGACGCUGAGGCUCGAAGGCUAGGGGAGCAAAAGGG